GACGAACGCUGGCGGCGUGCUUAACACAUGCAAGUCGAACGGAAAGGCCCUGCUUUUGUGGGGUGCUCGAGUGGCGAACGGGUGAGUAACACGUGAGUAACCUGCCCUUGACUUUGGGAUAACUUCAGGAAACUGGGGCUAAUACCGGAUAGGAGCUCCUGCUGCAUGGUGGGGGUUGGAAAGUUUCGGCGGUUGGGGAUGGACUCGCGGCUUAUCAGCUUGUUGGUGGGGUAGUGGCUUACCAAGGCUUUGACGGGUAGCCGGCCUGAGAGGGUGACCGGCCACAUUGGGACUGAGAUACGGCCCAGACUCCUACGGGAGGCAGCAGUGGGGAAUAUUGCACAAUGGGCGGAAGCCUGAUGCAGCAACGCCGCGUGCGGGAUGACGGCCUUCGGGUUGUAAACCGCUUUCGCCUGUGACGAAGCGUGAGUGACGGUAAUGGGUAAAGAAGCACCGGCUAACUACGUGCCAGCAGCCGCGGUGAUACGUAGGGUGCGAGCGUUGUCCGGAUUUAUUGGGCGUAAAGGGCUCGUAGGUGGUUGAUCGCGUCGGAAGUGUAAUCUUGGGGCUUAACCCUGAGCGUGCUUUCGAUACGGGUUGACUUGAGGAAGGUAGGGGAGAAUGGAAUUCCUGGUGGAGCGGUGGAAUGCGCAGAUAUCAGGAGGAACACCAGUGGCGAAGGCGGUUCUCUGGGCCUUUCCUGACGCUGAGGAGCGAAAGCGUGGGGAGCGAACAGGCUUAGAUACCCUGGUAGUCCACGCUGUAAACGGUGGGUACUAGGUGUGGGGUCCAUUCCACGGGUUCCGUGCCGUAGCUAACGCUUUAAGUACCCCGCCUGGGGAGUACGGCCGCAAGGCUAAAACUCAAAGGAAUUGACGGGGCCCCGCACAAGCGGCGGAGCAUGCGGAUUAAUUCGAUGCAACGCGUAGAACCUUACCUGGGUUUGACAUGGAUCGGGAGUGCUCAGAGAUGGGUGUGCCUCUUUUGGGGUCGGUUCACAGGUGGUGCAUGGCUGUCGUCAGCUCGUGUCGUGAGAUGUUGGGUUAAGUCCCGCAACGAGCGCAACCCUUGUUCACUGUUGCCAGCACGUUAUGGUGGGGACUCAGUGGAGACCGCCGGGGUCAACUCGGAGGAAGGUGGGGAUGACGUCAAGUCAUCAUGCCCCUUAUGUCCAGGGCUUCACGCAUGCUACAAUGGCUGGUACAGAGAGUGGCGAGCCUGUGAGGGUGAGCGAAUCUCGGAAAGCCGGUCUCAGUUCGGGUUGGGGUCUGCAACUCGACCUCAUGAAGUCGGAGUCGCUAGUAAUCGCAGAUCAGCAACGCUGCGGUGAAUACGUUCCCGGG
rnacentral:rRNA from 1 species